UAAUUUGGCAAAAUAGCUCAUAAUAAUUACCUUAAUUUCCUCUUCAUUAGAGGUCGCCCUUUUCAUCUUUAAUACUGUUGAUUUGAUUUUCUUCCUUUUUUUUGUUACAUUAACCAAUACCUAAUUUUAUUUUAUUUUUACAGAGUAUCCCCUCUUAGUCUUAUUUAGUGGUUCAAUAGUUCUAUUUUCAAUUUUAUUAAUUUCUCCUUUGAUUUUUGGUAUUUCCAAUUUAGUUUUUAUAUGGGGAUUUUAAAUUUGUUUUCUUUCUAGUUUUUUAAUUUGCAUGCUCAAUUCAUUGAACUCUUCACUCUCUGAUUUGUUGAUAUAUGCACUCAGAGAUAUCAGUUUUCCCAAAAAAACUGCUUUGACUGCAUCCCAUAGAUUUUUUCCUCAUUGUCAUUCUCUUCAAUGAAAUUAAUUAUUGUUUCUUGAAUUUGUUCUUUGACCCACCAGUUUUGGAGAAUUAGAUUAUUUAGUUUCUAGUUCAUUUUAAAUUUACCUUUCCAUAAUCCCUUAUUGAUUAUGAUUUUUAUUUCAUUAUGAUCAGAAAAAGUUGCAUUAUUUCUGCUUUCCCUUUAUAUGUGCCAUGGGCUACUGAAAAGAAGGCAUAUUCCUUUUAAUCCCUUUUAUUUUUCUCCAGAUAACUAUUAGCUCUAAUUUGUCUAACAUUUCAUUCACUUCCCUUAUUUGGUUCUAUUUAUCUAGAAGGUUGAAUUCCCCCACUAGUAUGGUUUUACUACCUAUUUCCUCCUUAAGCUCCUUUAGUUCCUCCUUUAGAAAUCUGAAUGUUGGGGCAGCUGGGGCAGCUGGGUGGCUCAGUGGAUUGAGAGCCAGACCUAGAGACGGAAGGUCCUAGGUUCAAAUUGGCCUCAGACACAUCCUGGCUGUGUGACCCUGGGCAAGUCACUUAACCCCCAUUGCCUAGCCCUUACUGCUCUUCUGCCUUGGAAUCAAUACAGUAUUGAUUCCAAGAAGGUAAGGGUUUAAUUUUAAAAAAAGAAAGAAAAGAAAUUUGAAUGCUAUAUUAUUUAGUGCAUAUAUGUUGAGUACUGAUAUUUCUUCAUUAUACUGCCUUUCAUCAAGACAUAAUUACCAUCCCUAUCUCUUUUAAUCAGUUCUGUUUUUGCUUUAGCUUUGUCUGAGAUCAUAAUUACUACUCCACCUCUUUUGUCUCAGUUAUACAGCCCAGUACAUUCUGCUCUCCCCUCUUAUGUUUACCCUGUGUAUGUCUACCUGCCUCGUGUUUUCCUUUUAGACUACUUAUGGUAGGAUUCUGGUUUAUAAUCAAUUCUUCUUCCUACUUCCUUUUUUUGGCUAUCAUUGCUAUUGCAGAAUGAAACUAUAUAGUUACUCAGCAGUCCCACUAUCCCAAUAUUUUGAAGAUCGUCGAUCUCUGGAACAGAUUUAUAGACAUUAAUUUUAAUGAUUCUGUUGAUAAUCAUUAAAAACAACUCUUCAUUCAAGACCAGGAAUUAUAAAGAAUAUAUACAGUGUCAAGGACUUUGUUAAAGAAUUGUGUUAUCAGAGGAGAUGAGCUAAUGGAGUAUAUUUUCCUUGGGACAGUAAGAGAAAACAAGGAAGAGCCCUAGUACAUUGUUGAGGAUGGAGGAACUCAUGGUUGCCAAUAUAUGAAAAAACAUAGAUGAGAAAAUGAGCAAGCAAGAUCAUGAUGCCUCAUUGAAGGGAUGAUUCAUAUUAAUUAAAUCAAAGGUUCGUUUGAAUACUUGACUGUUAUGAGUAAGUUGAGUCAAAAUGAGAAUUUCCAAUAGCCAGUUAUUUUUU